rnacentral:tRNA from 1 species
UCCUGGGUGGCUCAGUGGGUUAAGCGGCUGACUUUAGCUCAGGUCAUGAUCUUGCGAUCUGUGAGUUCGAGCCCCGCCUCAGGCU